GCUGUAGUUCAGUGGUAGAACAUCUGCUUUGCAUGCAGAGGGUGCACGGUUCAAUAGGGCUGUGAAAUAACCCUGUAUUAAAACCU